UACGGAGGGUGCGAGCGUUGUUCGGAUUUACUGGGCGUAAAGGGCGCGUAGGCGGCGCCGCAAGUCGACUGUGAAAUCUCCGGGCUUAACCCGGAAAGGUCAGCCGAUACUGCGGGGCUAGAGUGCAGAAGGGGCAACUGGAAUUCUCGGUGUAGCGGUGAAAUGCGUAGAUAUCGAGAGGAACACCUGCGGCGAAGGCGGGUUGCUGGGCUGACACUGACGCUGAUGCGCGAAAGCUAGGGGAGCGAACGGG
rnacentral:rRNA from 1 species